rnacentral:rRNA from 1 species
UGUGGAAAGAGGAUUCGUCCAAUUGAAGCAGAGGACAGUGGCGGACGGGUGAGUAACGCGUGAGGAACCUGCCUUUAGGAGGGGGACAACAUUCCGAAAGGGAUGCUAAUACCGCAUAAAAUUAUUGUAUCGCAUGGUAUAAUAAUCAAAGAUUUAUCGCCUAAAGAUGGACUCGCGUCCGAUUAGCUAGUUGGUGGGGUAAAAGCCUACCAAGGCGACGAUCGGUAGCCGAACUGAGAGGUUGAUCGGCCACAUUGGGACUGAGACACGGCCCAGACUCC